rnacentral:rRNA from 1 species
AUUGAACGCUGGCGGCAGGCCUAACACAUGCAAGUCGAGCGGAUGAGUGGAGCUUGCUCCAUGAUUCAGCGGCGGACGGGUGAGUAAUGCCCAGGAAUCUGACUGGUAGUGGGGGACAACGUUUCGAUAGGAACGCUAAUACCGCAUACGUCCUACGGGAGAAAGCAGGGGACCAUCCGGCCUUGCGCGACCAGAUGAGCCUAGGUCGGAUUAGCGAGUAGGUGAGGUAAUGGGUCACCUAGGCGACGAUCCGUAACUAGUCUGAGAGGAUGAGCAGUCAGACUGGAACUGAGACACGGUCCAGACUCCUACGGGAGGCAGCAGUGGGGAAUAUUGGACAAGGGGCGAAAGCGUGUUCCAGCCAUGCCGCGUGUGUGAAGAAGGUCUUCGGAUUGUAAAGCACUUUAAGUUGGGAGGAAGGGCAGUAAGCUAAUACCUUGCUGUUUUGACGUUACCAACAGAAUAAGCACCGGCUAACUUCGUGCCAGCCGCCGCCGUAACAC